GUUGAACGCUGGCGGCAGGCCUAACACAUGCAAGUCGAGCGGAUGAAGGGAGCUCGCUUCUGGAUUCAGCGGCGGACGGGUGAGUAAUGCCUAGGAAUCUGCCUGGCAGUUGGGGAUAACGUCAGGAAACGAGAGCUAAUACAGCAUACGACCUGAGGGAGAAAGUCGGGGAUCUUCGGAGCUAACGCUAUCAGAUGAGCCUAGGUAGGAUUAGCUAGUUGGUGGGGUAAGGCCUACCAAGGCGACGAUCCGUAACUGGUCUGAGAGGACGAUCAGUCACACUGGAACUGAGACACGGUCCAGACCCCUACGGGAGGCAGCAGUGGGGAAUUUUGGACAAUGGGCGAAAGCCUGACCCAGCCAGGCCGCGUGUGUGAAGAAGGUCUUCGGAUGGUAAAGCACUUUAAUUUGGGAGGAAGGGCAGUAAGUUAAUACCUUGCUGUUUUGACGUUACCAACAGAAUAAGCACCGGCUAACUUCGUG
rnacentral:rRNA from 1 species